GGUUUACAAAUUUGUUUCGCAAUACAAAGCAAGUUUCCCCAGGAUGCAUUGCACCUGGGAGGUUUAUAGCACCGCCCCCUGCAUGCUGGAGCCUGUGGGUAGCACGUGGCGUCGAGUGUGGAGGUGUUGGAGCAGCUUUUGCAUCAGGUUUUGGAGCCAUUCUGGAAAUUGUUUGCAGUUGUUUUGGGACUUAUUGGUGCAUUUCUCAAG